rnacentral:rRNA from 1 species
UACGUAGGGGGCGAGCGUUGUCCGGAUUCAUUGGGCGUAAAGCGCGUGUAGGCGGCUCGACAAGUCGGCCGUGAAAUCUCCAGGCUCAACUUGGAGGGGUCGGGCGAGACUGUCGGGCUCGAGGUGGGCAGAGGGCAGUGGAAUUCCGGGUGUAGUGGUGGAAUGCGUAGAGAUCCGGAGGAACACCAGUGGCGAAGGCGGCUGCCUGGGCCUGGCCUGACGCUGAGGCGCGAAAGCGUGGGGAGCGAUCCGG